GCUGCCCCGGGAUCCUGGCCGCCGCCUGUCGCCUGUGGGUCCUUUGCGCAGGAACCUGGUUGGAGCGAGCGGCUUUGGGGACGCUGGCACCCACAGUCCCCCGGGCGGCCCUAGAGGAACAAGAGCUCCUGAUGGGCUCUGAUGAGAGGGAAGCUCCCCGGGUAGUCCACCCACGUGGUCCUUCAGGCAUGGAGAAUGGGGUAGAAAGGCCCACCCUUGACCCGAUGCCCGCUCUGACCCCAGAGGUCCUUUGAUAUAAGUGGCUUGAUAGUAGGGACACCUGGCCUAGGGACUUCCCAGAAAAAGAUCAACGGAGAAACAUUUCAAGGAUUCCCGCUGUCCAAGGGCUCCUCCAACUCUUUCUGCUGGUGUCUUUUCCGCUUUUUUGCCCUUUUUUAACUUUCGUGUUCCUGGUUGUCUUCUUCUUCCUUUUCAGAGUUGGCUGAGCCAUCCCAUCCACCCGCAUUGCUUUGAUCCCACCGUGCCCCCCCCCCCUUUCUCAUGACCCUCCAGCCCCACCCCAAGCUGGUCCUUCCCCUUGCACUCCAGCCUGUGGAUACACUGCGGGGUUGGUCCUGCCGGAACCUUAAACUUCGCAGGGCUUGGUACACGGUUAGCAGCUUGGGCUCCAAUGCAAAACAGAUUUAGUAAGGGUGGAAGCAGUCGAGUCAUUAAUCUCUGAAUCUCAGUGUUUGCUUUUAAAUUGCAGAAUGAAGAUAAUAGUACACCUUUGCCUCGUAGAAUUGUGAGAAUUAAAAUACAGCUGACCCUUGAACAACAGUGAUUGGAACUGCGUGGGUCCACUCAUACAAAGAUUUUUUUCCAUUCUAGUGCAGUACUGUAAAUGCAUUUUCUCUUCCUUAUGAUGUGCUUGAUAACCUCUUUUCUCAAGCUCACUUUAUUAUAAGACUAUAUACCACAUAAUAUACGUACAAAAAUGUGUGUUAAUCAUUUGUUGGUAAGGCUUCCAGUCAACAGUAGGCUAUUAGUUGUUAAUGUUGGAGGGAGUCAAAAGUUAUAUAGGGAUUUUUGACUGUAGGGAUCAGAUCCCCACAUUUUUCAAGGGUCAUCUGUAGAAAAGUUAGAUGCAAAAAAAAAAAAAAAGAAACAGAAAGAAAAAAGAAAAGAAAAGUUAGAUGCUUGAUACUAUGCCUGGAAUCAGUGUUCAGCUAUGUGAAGGUAUCCAUAAUUAAAAGUAUCAUUCCCCCCAAAAAAAUAAAUAAAAAUAAAAUAAAAGUAUCAUCCCCAUACGACCUGCUCUUCCUUUUGAGUUUCUUACUUCAUAAGAUGACCUUCUACCACUUGCCUGCUGGAUCACUGACCAGGACACUUUGGGUCCUCGCUGAUCAGGUUCCUGCUUGCUCUUGCACGCCAUUCUUCUCAAUCCACCUUGGUUUGGCUGAGUCAGGACAAGUGCUUCAGUGAUGUCAGACACAUGCUUCUUCCUCCUGCCUUUUCCAGCUGCUGUGGUUCAGGUGGAGGAGCAGCUCCCUAGUGCCUUCUCAUUUAGCUGAAGUUAUACUUCUCUGGAAGCUUCCAACAUUACCUUCCCAUCAGCACCACACUCAAUUUGAUGUUUCCUUUCCAUUUCUCCACUAUUCGCUACAUAAUUGUCACAUUUGCUCAUUGUGUUGAAAUGUUUGGCCUACAUCACUGUCUCUGCCUUUAUUUUCUUUUUAAGAUUUUAUUUAUUAUUCAUGAGAUGGAAGGUAAGAGAGAAAGAGACACAGGCAGAGGGAGAAGCAGGCUCCAUGGAGGGAGCCCAACGUGGGACUCAAUCCCGGGUCUCCAGGACCACGCCCCGGGCUGAAGGCAGCGCUAAACCACUGAGCCACCCAGGCUGCCCUGUCUCUGCCUUUAGACUGAAUUUCUUCAAGGUACAAGUAGGGUUGCAUUUCCUGGGUUCCUUGUCGUUGGAAUGAGCCACGUGACACAUUCUGCGGCGAAUUGUAGGAGGAGAUUGUAGUGGAGUCUGUCUCGCUCAUGCUCAAGUGAACACAGCUGGGCCUGAAGUUGUCUUCCAGGAUCAAGUGGAGAAGCUCGAGCAGCCCUUCUGAGGAAUCCCAACUAAGGAAUCUCUGCCUCCACGUGCUUGCAGGGCAAAAGUAGUGCUGGAGAGCUCUUCUCACCAAUCCAUGAGGCAUACAGGGCUUUUUGUUAUUGUUAUUUGCUGCACUCUUGGUGAAGAACAUUCUGGAAUAUUACAACCAUUUAGGAAAAAUAACCUUCUAAUGGAGAACACAACAACAAACCAAACAAAAAGAAAUUCCACAUAAUUUCAGAUGAUAAAAUAGAAAAGUAUUCUGGUAAUAAAAGAUGGAGACUUGA